GACAGAGGGUGCGAACGUUGCUCGGAAUUACUGGGCGUAAAGCGCGUGUAGGCGGUUACGCAAGUCGGGUGUGAAAUCCCGGGGCUCAACCCCGUGACUGCAUUCGAUACUGUCAGGCUAGAGGUAGGUAGGGGAGAUCGGAAUUCCUGGUGUAGCGGUGAAACUGCGUAGAUAUCGAGAGGAACACCUGGCGGCGAAGGCGGGUUGCUGGGCUGACACUGACGCUGAAGCGCGAAAGCUAGGGGAGCGAACGGG
rnacentral:rRNA from 1 species